AACACUAUGUGUGGAGAAAAAAGGCACAGCACACCAACAUCAAAACGUCAUCCCAACUGUAAAUACUUUACAGUUGGGAUGACGUUUUGAUGUUGGUGUGCUGUGCCUUUUUUCUCCACACAUAGUGUUGUGUGUUCCUUCCAAACAACUCAACUGUAGUUUCAUCUGUCCACAAAAUAUUUUGCCAGUAGCGCUGUGGACCGUCCUGGUGUACUUUUGUAAACUUCAAUGUGCAUGAAUUAUUUUUUUUUUUGGACAGCUGUGGCUGCUUCCAUGGUUCCUUCCAUGAACACCAUUCUUGUUUAGUGUUUUACGUAUCGUUGACCCGUCAGAGAUGUUAGCAUGUUCCAGAGAUUUCUGUAAGUCUUUAGCUGACACUAGGAUUCUUCUUAACCUCAUUGAGCAUUCUGCGCUGUGCUAUUGCAGUCAUCUUUGCAGGACGGCCACCCCUAAGGAGAGUAGCAACAGUGCUGAACUUUCACCAUUUAUAGACAAUUUGUCUUACCGUGGACUGAUGAACUCAAGGCUUUUAGAGAUACGUUUGUAACCCUUUCCAGCUUUAUGCAAGUCAACAAUUCUUAAUCUUAGGUCUUCUGAGAUUUUUUUAUAUUUUUUUAUAUAUUUUUUUACUACAACUACUAGGGCUUUUUCUCAAUGGUCCUAAUGGAAGGCACCACCCCACCAUGAUCAACGCGGGUCCUGAUGGAAGGCACCACUCCACCAUGAUAAACGCGGGUCCUGAUGGAAGGCACUGAGAUCUCUUUUGUUCGAGAUCACUUCUGAGAUCUCUUGUUCGAGGCAUGGUUCACAUCAGGCAAUGCUUCUUGUGAAUAGCAAACUUUGUGAGUUUUUUUUAUAGGGCAAGGCAGCUCUAACCAACAUCUCCAAUCUCGUCUCAUUGAUUGGGCUCCAGGUUAGCUGACUCCUGACUGCAAUAGCUUUUUGAGAAGUCAUUAGCCUAGGGGUUCAUAUUUUUUCCAACCUACACUGUGAAUGUUUAAAUGACGUAUUCAAUAUAGACAAGAAAAUACAAUCAUUUGUGUGUUAUUAGUUUAAGCACACUGUUUGUCUAUUAUUGUGACUUAGAUGAAGAUCAGAUCAAAUUUGAUUACUAAUUUAUGCCGAAAUCCAAGUAAUUCCAAAGGGUUCACAUACUUUUUCUUGCCACUGUAUGUUGUCGACUGUAAGUGUUUUGCUCUACAUUCAUAAAUUGUCAAGUCUGCACUAGAUCAGUGAAUAAAAAUGAGAUUUGUGAAUAAAAUUUAAAUACUCCUUAUUCUAGAAACAAUGUAAAUGCUCCAUUUCCUUCUAAACAUGAGGACCAAGGCACACUUCAUAAAGUUAAAAUGUUUAAGUUACGGUGGCAUGUUCAAUAGAACAAAAUUGUAAAAACUUCUGACGUGUUUUGGCACAAGUUUUGUCAGGUACUGUAGUUUUUAAGAUUUUCUAUUGAACAUGCUCUGUAUGAGGGCCUUGGUCCUCCUUGUUCUUUAUGUCAAAUUAACCCCUUAACCAAAGAGCGCCUUCAACGUACAAAGAUCUAGUAGUGCUCCUUCUUGAUGUAGUGAUGCAUUAAAGCAAAACUAGCAUUGGCAA